rnacentral:rRNA from 1 species
AAUCAACGCUGGCGGCGUGCCUAACACAUGCAAGUCGAACGCGAAAGGGGACUUCGGUUCCUGAGUAGAGUGGCGUCCGGGUGAGUAACACGUGGGUAAUCUGCCUUCGGGUGGGGAAUAACUCAGGGAAACUUGAGCUAAUACCGCAUAAUGCAGCGGCACCUAAUGGUGAUUAGUUGUUAAAGCGGGGGAGUCGCAAGACCUCGCGCCUGAAGAGGAGCCUGCGGCAGAUUAGCUAGUUGGUAAGGUAAUGGCUUACCAAGGCUUCGAUCUGUAGCUGGUCUGAGAGGACGGCCAGCCACACUGGCACUGACACACGGGCCAGACUCCUACGGGAGGCAGCAGUGGGGAAUUUUGGGCAAUGGGCGAAAGCCUGACCCAGCAACGCCGCGUGAGGGAGGAAAUCCUUCGGGAUGUAAACCUACACAAGCAAGGGAAGAGAGCUACGGGCUGAAUAAUCCCGCAGUGCGACGGUACCUU